UGGAAGAAGACUGAUUAUGAUUCAUACCAAGAGGAUCCUUUCUUCCUAGGAGACAAGCUCUCCUUGGUAGCUCUUGCCUUGCUCUACUACUAGUCUAAUACUAAAGAUACAAGUGAGAGGUAUGAGGAAAUGUAGACUCCAAAUGAUGUGUGUUUUACAAAUGAGGGGGAGCUAUCUAUUUAUAGCCCAACUAGGAUGGUUCGGGGGGAUCUAAAUAUGGUAGUAGGUGAAACCGUCCUAUGCAUGGCGGCAUGCAACCGCCAGAGAAAGGUGGGGUCAGUUUGCCGCCAGCAAGGUUGCCCCCGCAACCAGGUGCGCCCGCAACCUGGUGGGCCCGACCUGGCCACCGUCUUCGCGUGGCUUGCUCCGUGCUGGACCUCCUUUGCUGCUUCGGUUACGAUUGGGUCCAAUUCGAUGUUGAAGGUGGGCUUCUUAUUUAUUUUUAAUUACGCACUUGUGAAUUCGUCUUUUGCGCUUUCUUUAUUUUAUUGUUUCUUCCACUUGUCACAUUAUAAAUCCUGCAAAACAAAAUACCAUGGUACAAGUGGAACUAUGUCAAUAGCAAAAGCAUAUGUGAUUUAAAUAUGUUUAUUUCUCUUCUUUUUAGUCUAAGUUGGCAGUAUAAAAUCCUCCAUAGUUACUGCCAACAGCUGCCCUGUUUAGAACCAAUAUUCAUGCAGUUAUUAACACCAACACUACCACCACUCAAACGGCUAUUAACAUCAGUUGUAACCCUUCCACAAGCAUCAUCAUCGCAUCUUACAACACUAUACCUUUCAGUGUUUCCUGCAACCUUUGCUUCUUUCAGUGUUCCUAGCAGUAGCAACUGUCUUUUCAACGUUCAUAUCAACAUUGCUUCUUCCAGCACUCCCAGUAGCAGCAGCAGCAUCACUGCCCAUUUCAUCACUCCCAACAACAGCAGGGUGGCACCUUCCAGUGCUCCUAGCAGCAGCAGCACUACCCGUUUCAUCACUCCCAACAACAGUAGUACGGCCCCUUCCAGCACUCCUAGCAGCAGCAGUAUGUUGGUGGUCCUUAAGUAUCAAAUUUAAUCAUUGAAUAAAUAAAGAAAAGGAUCUAAAUGCAACCAACACCCAGACUUAGGGUUUUAUCUGACAGAAUUCCAUGAGUUUUGGUGUUUUUCUAUUUCUGCAGGGGGUUAUUAGGAAAUACGGAAGAAAGACCCACACGUCGGGUUUACAUAGAGAUAUUAACAUGUGCGGCAAUGUUCCAUCAUCUAGAAGACUCCAGAAGCCAUGGGAACGAGCAGGAGGCCGAGCGGGCCCGGGGGCAGGGCGCCCGCCCUGCUGGCUUGAGAGCCAAUCAGGCUGUGGCUCGAGGAUCACGCUCCACCGACCUAAGGGAUCAAGGAAAACCGUGUGAUUAUGGAUGGUUUGAUCCGACAGCCCAGGUUCAUUUGGGAGGGCUAUAUAAGCAAGGCCCCUGGCCCCUGGAGGAGGGCAACUCUCAAACCCUAAUUCAUUCAUUCAUCCAAGGGGAAGAGCCUUUGAUCAAGCCCUAGAGCCACCACAUCAACUAGAUCUCUAGUUUAGCAUAGCUACAUAGGAUUAGAACUAGAAGGAGUCAAUCUUCAAUUGGUUUCCCGAUCUGUCAAGAGAAUUCUUGGUAAUUCCUCUAUUGUUCUUCAUUUGUUCAUCAUUGUUCUUCAGUAUUAUGAAUAUGACUUUGCUUUAUUUCAAUAUAUUGAUUAUGACUUUGCUCUACUUGUCUAUAUUUGCAAUUAUAUCAUUCUUAGUUUAUCAUGGUUAUAUGCUUGGCUUAGUUAGAAUGGAAUUAUAUACAUGCUUACACUACACCACAACCUUUAAACAGCGAUGGACAAUGCGUUGCUAAAAGGGGUGUACAACAAUGGAUAAUCCGUUGCUAAAGGUUACAGCGACGGACCGUUAUGUAUACAGCGACGGACAUCUUAUUUAGCGACGGACAGUUCGACGGUCCAACCUUUAGCAACAGACAACCUAUCAAAGCUUUUAGCAACAGACAAUCCAUUACAAUAAUGACUUUUAGCAACAGACGGUCCAUUGAGCUCAAUUAAAUACGUAAAAAAAUAAAAGUUGAUCUAAAGGUAUAGCUGAUGAUCAAAUAUUAGCCAUACCUUGAUUCAUGUACACAAAAGUGAUGACAUUCAAAAGUGAUCACAUUAUACACACAUUGAUUCAUGUAUCCAACAAUUACAUUAUAUAUGUAAUGUCACUUAACAUUGAACUAGGCACUUAACAUGACAAGUAUCAAUCUGCAGCAACAAGAGGCAAAGGUGAUCUGCCAGGGUAUAUGCAUGUCACUUGCUAAUUAUUUAAGUAGUCACUUUCUAAUUAGCAAUUUCAUAUUACAUGUCCCACUAACAUACUCAAAGUAAACCUCUUUGGUACUCGAUACAAGAGAAGAAGCUCAUGUAAUUGAUUAUCUUCUUGAAGGAAAUAUCCAAGUCAUUGGGUUCUGCCGUUUACCAACCAACAUACAGGUUUUUGGCAACAUCAGAGGAUCCCAAAGAACAACUAAUAAAUCACAUUCAGAAAUAGCAAAUUUGAAAUGAGAUGUCCAUCUGUUGUAUCUCAUUCCAAAGCACAAGAACAGAGGGGAAAUAAACUAAUAAGUCGAAGUUCUGUUCUCAACAAAACAAAGUAAGGCAUCGGUUCAAAUUUAAUCUACAGAAGGGUAAGUAAGUCUCUAGAACUCAGUUCCAAGCUGCAUAUAUAAGUUAACAGGAGAGAUAUCAUUUUGGUUCGAAAAAUAACCAAACUAGAUUCAGAGGUCUACUGAGCAAAAAGAAAUAACAAUGCAGUAAAUGACUAUGUGUGGAGAAGAAUACUAACCAUUGCAGCGACAGAUAUCUUUAAAGAGGAAAAAACCCAUCAGUUCAAGUUAACACAAAGAAGGAUCCCAUUUCCCAAGCAAACUAUGAUCCUGUUCACUCAUGCAUAUAUAUAUAUAUAUAUAUAUAUAUAUAUAUGCUCACUAUUUUUUAAAAUCAGAGCAUAACUGCAUUAUUCAGGUUACAAUAGUGCAGGGCUGCAAACUUAAAUGCUCAGUUUUAAGAAGAAACAAACACAAAUAUAAAUAAUGAAAUUGGCCGCAACUUUUUGGAUACUAAUGUAUUUUUUCCCUUGUUUUGUCUCCAUAGUUCCAAGCAUGGUCCAAUUAUAUUGGUCAUCAUUCUCAUGCUGGUAAACAGAAAAGAUAUUGUAAAACCAUAAUGCAUAGCAAUUAGAUUCUCCGAAAUAUCAAUCUAAAACAACAGCAACAUGUGAAACUAACUUAGUUUAGUUAUUUUAUCAAACCCAUAACAGGUAACAAGCACAUGUGCAACAAAAAGGUAAGAAGUUAAAAGAUAGUUGUAAAAAGGUAAUCACAUACAAAAGCAAUAUUUAUUUUCCCCACUAAGAUAGUUACAGAGUAGAUCAAAAACAAGUAUGGUCCAGUGCAGAACUGCAGACUCUUAUAUAUUUACUUGUAACUAGUGACGAUACAAACGCUUAUCUGAAAAAUUGGGCUAUCGAGUGUGAAAGGUGACAAAUAACCUACAAAUAAACUAAUAGAAGAAAUCAAAUGCAUUGAAGAGUGGAUUGAUCACUGAAGUGCAGUGGGGGGAAAAACUCUGUUAAGAUUCAUCGAGUGUGAUGAAGAUAACAGCAAGAAAAGACCAAGCUCUCCAAAUUGAAACUAAGAUAACAUAUCAAUACCUCAAAAAAUAAAGACAUGUUUGAAAGAGCACAACCAGAAGGACAGGGUACCUUCAUCUCAAAAAGAACAAAGUUUUUUUUUCUCAAUCGGGUGGUUAACCCGUAUUUCAUUAAGAGGAGCGUAACAACCUGUUACAAAGUUUAACCGUCAUCGGCGAGCAGCCAAUAAAUAGGCAGUAGCAACCUAACUACUGGAUACAAAUUUUGUUGUAAUUACAUUCGAUACCUUAAUCUCAAAAAGGACAAAGUACCUUAACAAACACCCAAGAAGGCAGCAUGCCGUCACCAAUAACCCAAGUAACUAGACCCUGAAUGUCCUGCAUUACAAGAAAAUGGCUCUUUACUAAACUACAAGAACAAGAAUAGUUUUCACGAGCCAAAUUUCAUUAAGCUUUUGUUAUGAACGAACCUACAGAUUUAAUGUAGUGUUUAAAGCAGCCUCCUUGAAAAUAACAUCAGGCUUCGCCUGGACAGGAUAAACAAGAAGAGACAGUAUGAGUUGGAAGCACAAAAAAUACGAAAAAAAAGACAGCUAUGAUGUCUAUGAGAAAAGUAAGCAGGCAGCAGCACAAGAAUGAUUCACCAGCAAGCACACAACUAACAGCUAACUUUUCAACUAAAUGAAGGUUUGAGAGUACACUAUUAAAUUAAUAAGUAGGCAGCAUGCCAUCACCAAAUCAUUAUGCCAUGCCGAUAGCUCUAGUACAAAGUACAAACAAGUGAUUUUGGAUUCAACUUAGAAAGUCCCUAAUUGAUGAGUGAUCCCUAAGUUGAUGAGCAAGCUCUGAAGUCUGAACACAGUACAGAUAGCACUGCUCCAAAUGCAGUAUCACUUUACUAUUCGAACAAGAGGAGCCGCACUUUGCUACCUAUCAAGCAAUCAAUCAGGAUUCACACCUUCGACAUUCAAGUAUAGAACUCCUAAGUAAACAAGCUACGAAAGUUUUCAAGCUGUGUCCAGUGUCCUUGAAAAAUGUUGAACCGGCUCAAGGUUGAUCAAUGGAUCAAUCCAGUAAGCCCUUGUAUUUAGUCUCCCAACCUAUCAGCUAUCCAUGACAUCCAUUUUGUGCAAUUUUGCUUUGAUGAAACAACAGAGCAAACUUAAUAGGUACAGUUCACGCCACACCAACAGUAGCAGCAUUUACACAAAAAUCCCACCUCACUACAAAUCCCAUGGUAAUUCAACGAACAUUGAUGCCAAUCACAGUCCCAUCAGUCGUGAUGCAAUGCAACACCCCCUGUUUCAAUCUCAGCAGAACUCCUACUCGAAGAAUUCCAACCAAUCAAAUUAACAUAUUCGUAGAUAAAACCAACCACCUGCAUGCUGCAGCGCCCAAUUUUGCCAUACAUCGGAGAUUUUUUAAAAAAAACACUAACAGAACAACAGAGAAUGCAAAAAAUGCGAUCUUUUUUCCAAUAACGGACCAACUCAGCUCAACUCGAUGACAAAUUCCCCUUCAUGUCACACCACGCCGAAACCUUAAUUUUCCGAGAGGGGACGGGGGAGCGGGAGGCGAAGAAGCAAGAGAGCACGUACGUUAGGGCCGUAUAAGUCGUAGAGCGCGGAGGAGGAGGAGGCGCCGCCGCCGUUGCCGUUGCCGGAAGGGGUCGACAUGGAGGCCACCGCCGCCGCCGAGGUGGAUGCCCUAGUGCUUCUGUGCCGCCGCCGACCUUGCGAGUGUCCUGCCUUCGGGACUCGAGUGUCGAGUUGGCGAGUCUGAGCUGGUUGCAUCGUGGCUGUGCGACGUGGUGAGGGCGCAAAGUAGAGAUUGGAAGGAGGAAGAGGACGGUGGUGCGGGCAGCCGGCGGGGGUGGCUAGCGGGGAGAGCGGCCGGCAGGGGCGCGCGGCGGGGCGAGCGGCCGGGCGGCGGCGCGAGCAGCUGAAGGGGCGCGCGGCGGGGCGAGCGGCGGCAGAUGGUAGAGAGAAAAUGAGGCUUUGGUGUAUUUGGUCUGUGUGAGUAGUUAGGGUUUACAUGACUUUUGGGCCAAAAUUUUUG
rnacentral:lncRNA from 1 species